rnacentral:SRP_RNA from 1 species
GCCGGGUGCGGUGGCAUGCGCCUGUAGUUCCAGCUACUCGGGAGGCUGAGGCAGGAGGAUUGCCUGAGCCCAGGAGUUCUGGGCUGUAGUGCGCUAUGCCGAUCUGGUGUCCGCACUAAGUUUGGCAUCAAUAUGGUGACCUCCUGGGAGCGGGGGACCACCAGGUUGCCUAAGGAGGAAUGAACCGGCCCAGGUCGGAAACGGGGCAGGUCAAAACUCCCAUGCUGAUCAGUAGUGGGAUCGUGCCUGUGAAUAGCCACUGCACUCCAGCCUGGGCAACAUAGUGAGACCCCGUCUCUU